rnacentral:rRNA from 1 species
GAUGAACGCUGGCGGCGUGCCUAAUACAUGCAAGUCGAGCGAACAGACGAGGAGCUUGCUCCUCUGACGUUAGCGGCGGACGGGUGAGUAACACGUGGAUAACCUACCUAUAAGACUGGGAUAACUUCGGGAAACCGGAGCUAAUACCGUAUAAUAUAUUGAACCGCAUGGUUCAAUAGUGAAAUACGGUUUUGCUGUCACUUAUAGAUGGAUCCGCGCCGCAUUAGCUAGUUGGUAAGGUAACGGCUUACCAAGGCAACGAUGCGUAGCCGACCUGAGAGAGUGAUCGGCCACACUGGAACUGAGACACGGUCCAGACUCCUACGGGAGGCAGCAGUAGGGAAUCUUCCGCAAAGGGCGAAAGCCUGACGGAGCAACGCCGCGUGAGUGAUGAAGGUCUUCGGAUCGUAAAACUCUGUUAUUAGGGAAGAACAAAUGUGUAAGUAACUAUGCACGUCUUGACGGUACCUAAUCAGAAAGCCACGGCUAACUACGUG